rnacentral:rRNA from 1 species
UACAGAGGUCCCAAGCGUUGUUCGGAUUCACUGGGCGUAAAGGGUGCGUAGGUGGCCGGUUAAGUCUGACGUGAAAUCUCCGAGCCUAACUCGGAAACUGCAUCGGAAACUAUCCGGCUCGAGGGUUGGAGGGGGGACUGGAAUACUUGGUGUAGCAGUGAAAUGCGUAGAUAUCAAGUGGAACACCAGUGGCGAAGGCGAGUCCCUGGACAACUCCUGACACUGAGGCACGAAAGCGUGGGGAGCGAACAGG